UCGCAGGAGGAGAGGAAUGCAGUUCCCUAGGGACGCUCCCCGUUUCUUGAUUCCCUUUAGCUGGUUCCACCACCGGGUCAGAAGAAUGAAAAUUGCAGAUACCUAUUCUGUGUGUUUCUCUCCAGAAUGGUGGAUGUUAGAGACCCUACUAAGGAUUUGUGGACUCAUUAACGUAGUCUCUAAAAGUGCUACAUCUGUACAAAUGAAUCCAAUGUUUCCAUGUGAGUCCAA
rnacentral:lncRNA from 1 species